GAUCAUGGCUCAGGAUGAACGCUGGCGGCGUGCCUAACACAUGCAAGUCGAACGGAGAUUACAGACGGAAGUUUUCGGAUGGAAGACUGUAAUUCUUAGUGGCGGACGGGUGAGUAACGCGUGGGCAACCUGCCCUAUACAGGGGGAUAGCAGCUGGAAACGGCUGGUAAGACCGCAUAAGUCGGCGAGACCGCAUGGUUUUGUCGGGAAAUGAGUAAUCAGGUAUAGGAUGGGCCCGCGUCCGA
rnacentral:rRNA from 1 species